rnacentral:rRNA from 1 species
GACGAACGCUGGCGGCGUGCUUAACACAUGCAAGUCGAACGGAAAGGCCCUGCUUUUGUGGGGUGCUCGAGUGGCGAACGGGUGAGUAACACGUGAGUAACCUGCCCUUGACUUUGGGAUAACUUCAGGAAACUGGGGCUAAUACCGGAUAGGAGCUCCUGCUGCAUGGUGGGGGUUGGAAAGUUUCGGCGGUUGGGGAUGGACUCGCGGCUUAUCAGCUUGUUGGUGGGGUAGUGGCUUACCAAGGCUUUGACGGGUAGCCGGCCUGAGAGGGUGACCGGCCACAUUGGGACUGAGAUACGGCCCAGACUCCUACGGGAGGCAGCAGUGGGGAAUAUUGCACAAUGGGCGGAAGCCUGAUGCAGCAACGCCGCGUGCGGGAUGACAGCCUUCGGGUUGUAAACCGCUUUCGCCUGUGACGAAGCGUGAGUGACGGUAAUGGGUAAAGAAGCACCGGCUAACUACGUGCCAGCAGCCGCGGUGAUACGUAGGGUGCGAGCGUUGUCCGGAUUUAUUGGGCGUAAAGGGCUCGUAGGUGGUUGAUCGCGUCGGAAGUGUAAUCUUGGGGCUUAACCCUGAGCGUGCUUUCGAUACGGGUUGACUUGAGGAAGGUAGGGGAGAAUGGAAUUCCUGGUGGAGCGGUGGAAUGCGCAGAUAUCAGGAGGAACACCAGUGGCGAAGGCGGUUCUCUGGGCCUUUCCUGACGCUGAGGAGCGAAAGCGUGGGGAGCGAACAGGCUUAGAUACCCUGGUAGUCCACGCUGUAAACGGUGGGUACUAGGUGUGGGGUCCAUUCCACGGGUUCCGUGCCGUAGCUAACGCUUUAAGUACCCCGCCUGGGGAGUACGGCCGCAAGGCUAAAACUCAAAGGAAUUGACGGGGCCCCGCACAAGCGGCGGAGCAUGCGGAUUAAUUCGAUGCAACGCGUAGAACCUUACCUGGGUUUGACAUGGAUCGGGAGUGCUCAGAGAUGGGUGUGCCUCUUUUGGGGUCGGUUCACAGGUGGUGCAUGCCUGUCGUCAGCUCGUGUCGUGAGAUGUUGGGUUAAGUCCCGCAACGAGCGCAACCCUUGUUCACUGUUGCCAGCACGUUAUGGUGGGGACUCAGUGGAGACCGCCGGGGUCAACUCGGAGGAAGGUGGGGAUGACGUCAAGUCCUCAUGCCCCUUAUGUCCAGGGCUUCACGCAUGCUACAAUGGCUGGUACAGAGAGUGGCGAGCCUGUGAGGGUGAGCGAAUCUCGGAAAGCCGGUCUCAGUUCGGAUUGGGGUCUGCAACUCGACCUCAUGAAGUCGGAGUCGCUAGUAAUCGCAGAUCAGCAACGCUGCGGUGAAUACGUUCCCGGG